GAGGUGAACAUCCAUAGUAUCAUACAAAUUUCUCAGCUGCCUCCUCCAAAACUGGCAUCAGCAGAAGAGCAAAGGACUCUGGUCCUUAUGAAGAGGUGAUCUCAGACUUCUAGUCUUGAAAUGCUGUGAUCCAAAGAGAAGAGGAAAAGAGAAAGGCACCAGCGAGUAAGGGAAGCAACAGAGAAAAGGUGAGAGAAAUGAGGCAUGACAGAUAACUUGUAAGUUCUCGAAGUUUACAAUGGUAAAGCCAGGCCGGGUGCAGUGGCAUGCACCUGUAAUCACAGCAACUCAUGAGAUUAAAGCAGGAGGACCUCUUGAGCCCAGGAGUUUGAGGUUUCAGUGAGCUAUGAUCAUGCCACUGCACUCCAACCUGGGCAACAGAGCAAAACCCUGUCAAUCAAUCAAGCAAGCAGACAAGCAAGGAAGCAAGCAGCAGAGCCUCUGCAUGAGCUCAUGAAUGGCUGCUGUGGAAAAUUACUGACGUCACCAGCUGAAUAACAGGCUAUCUGGAGAGUAAGCAGAUGAAACUGAUGUUAAAUUAUCAAAUGUACAAGAUUUUGGGCUCCUGCCAAAACCUUCAUUGAGAACUAAGAAGAGAAAAACUGAAAACACACAGAGCUUUUUUUAAGCUUCUGAGCCAGCAGGCUGUUCCUACAUC
ensembl:lncRNA SGSM3-AS1 SGSM3 antisense RNA 1